GCAUAUCAAUAAGCGGAGGAAAAGAAACUAACAAGGAUUCCCCUAGUAGCGGCGAGCGAAGCGGGAAGAGCUCAAAUUUAUAAUCUGGCACCUUCGGUGUCCGAGUUGUAAUCUCUAGAAAUGUUUUCCGCGUUGGACCGCACACAAGUCUGUUGGAAUACAGCGGCAUAGUGGUGAGACCCCCGUAUAUGGUGCGGACGCCCAGCGCUUUGUGAUACAUUUUCGAAGAGUCGAGUUGUUUGGGAAUGCAGCUCAAAUUGGGUGGUAAAUUCCAUCUAAAGCUAAAUAUUGGCGAGAGACCGAUAGCGAACAAGUACCGUGAGGGAAAGAUGAAAAGCACUUUGGAAAGAGAGUUAACAGUACGUGAAAUUGUUGGAAGGGAAACGCUUGAAGUCAGACUUGCUUGCCGAGCAAUCGGUUUGCAGGCCAGCAUCAGUUUUCCGGGAUGGAUAAUGGUAGAGAGAAGGUAGCAGUUUCGGCUGUGUUAUAGCUCUCUGCUGGAUACAUCUUGGGGGACUGAGGAACGCAGUGUGCCUUUGGCGGGGGUUUCGACCUCUCACA
rnacentral:rRNA from 1 species